UCUCUUCCUCUCUCUCUCUCUCUCUCUCUCUCUCUCUCUCUCUCUCUCUAUAUAUAUAUAUAUAUAGUUGAGCUGGAAUGCUAUCGGUAGCAAAUGGGCUACGUUGCCACCCAUUUAUUUUCGAUGAUGGAGCCUUCAAAUUGACGAUCGGCACCGUUGAAUAUGAUCUAUAUCACCCGAAGUAUCCAGAAAUCAAAUUUCAAAUUUUUUUGACAUCGUUGACCUAAUGAUUAAAGGGUUUCAAAAUUUGUAAUUUUAAUGAUCGAUAUGAGGCGUUUUCUCGUUUAAGCUAUCCAAAUCUUUGUUAAAAAAUUUUUUAAACUAUUUAAAACAAGAUAUAUAUUCUCGACUUUGAUAACAAAAUUCCUAUCAUCACUUUUUAGAGGAUAUUCAUUUUCAAUCGUUCAUUUUUACACCCACUUGAUGAACAAGAGAACAAUAUCGAAAAAGCAUGAAAUUUGAUUUAUAAAUACUUCAAGUGGUAUAAAUCAUUUUCAACAGUACUGAUCGUCGACUUGGAGGCUCUAUCAUCAAAAAUAAAUGGGUGGCAAGGGAGCCGUUUGCUACCGAUAAUAUUCCAACUCAACUCUCUCUCUCUCUCUCUCUCUCUCUCUCUCUCUCUCUCUCUCUAUAUAUAUAUAUAUAUAUAUAUUAUAGAGUUCAACUACUAUAUUGUUAUGAGUAUAAGUCCCUUUGUACUCAUAAGUUUUGGCCAUUAAAUCCACACCAUUGAUCAUUUCCACCUAUUAUAUCAUAUUAUUUAACCAACCACCCACUCAACCCUAGAGAACUACUAUCAUCAUAAUCAGAAGCUAUUAUCCUCCUAAUCGUACAUCAUUUCAUCCAACGGUUAAAAAUUUAUGAAUACAAACGGGCUUAUACUUAUAAAAAUACAGUAGCCCUAACCUAAAUUAUAAUUACAAAAUAAAAAAUAAAAUUUUAAAUUAAAAAAUAAU
rnacentral:lncRNA from 1 species